rnacentral:misc_RNA from 1 species
AAAGUCGUAACAAGGUUUCCGUAGGUGAACCUGCGGAAGGAUCAUUACCGAGUAUUUUUCUUUGGAAAAACCCUCCCACCCUUGUGUGUAUCUAUGCUGAUAAGCAGCUUCGGCGAGCCGUUCUGAGUGUCUUAGAUGCGAAGAACAUUGGCCUACAAGCGAAUCUGUGCUUGCCGAAGGAACAACUCUGAUAACUUGAAGUCUGACAAAACUUGAUAAUAAAUCAAAACUUUCAACAACGGAUCUCUUGGUUCUG